rnacentral:piRNA from 1 species
UCCCGCUUUCUUUCUACACAC